rnacentral:rRNA from 1 species
CCAAUGGGGGAUUUGGCAAUUGGGCGAAGCCUGAUCCAUCCAUGCCGCGUGAGUGAUGAAGGCCUUCGGGUUGUAAAGCUCUUUUAUCAGGGAAGAUAAUGACUGGACCCGUAGAAUAAGGCCCGGACAACUUUGUGCGGACGCACGCGGG